rnacentral:lncRNA from 1 species
UUCGGUGGUGGUGGCUUGUAUAUUGGAGGUGGUGGAGAUUUGCAUGGCUUUGGUGGAGAACUUUUAUAUUUUGGAGGUGGUAGCAAUGGUGGAGGCUUGUAUGGCUUCGGAGGCAAAGGUUUAUAUUUUGGUAAUGGCGGAUUAUAUGUUGGUGGUGUAGUAGAUGGAGGCUUGCGCGUCUUCGGAGGCGAAGGUAUAUAUUUGGGUGGUGGUGAUUUUAAUAUUUGUGGUGGCGCUAGUGGAGGCUUGCAUGGCUUCGGAGGCGAAGGUACAUAUUUUGGUGGUGGUGACUUAUAUAUUAGUGGUGGCGCUGGUGGAGCCUUGCGUGGCUUCGGAGGCGAAGGCACAUAUUUCGGUGGAGGUGGCGCUAGUGGAGGCUUGCAUGGCUUUGGAGGCGAAGGCAUAUAUUUCGGUGGAGGUGGCGCUAGUGGAGGCUUGCAUGGCUUCGGAGGCGAAGGCAUAUAUUUCGGUGGAGGCGGCGAUGGACACAUGUAAGGUGGUGGUGACGGUGGUGGAGGCUUGCAUGGCUUUGGCGGCGGCGAUGGACACUUGUAAGGUGGUGGUGACGGUGGUGGAGGCUUAUAUAUAGGUGGCUCGUUCUUUAGUGGUGGUGGUGGAAACGUAUACUUGUAUGGUGGUGUUUUUGGAGGCUCUGG